AGCUCAAGGAGAUUUGCUUCUCUUGCUGUCUACUCUUUCGCACGGUUUCUUUCCUCCACGCACGUCUCCCUCUCUCGCCGCCUCUUCCAGUUUAUUAUGUUCCUUCAGACGCCGCAGACUUAUUUUCUGUGGCUAUAGAAACACAGCCGGAGCAGCUUAUCAGCGAGAUCGUUGGACCGCUGAUUGGAGAUGGAAUGUGUUAUUUGGGGCACACAGUGUCGGACGGGGCCAGCGGGACACCAUGAAAAAACCUGGUGGGCCCUGACCCUCAUGGGCCCCCGCCAGCCCAGACCUGCUUCCCCAGCUGCCCCGUAAAGAAAUGAACACACAGCGCAUGGUGGGCCCAGGGACUUUAAAAGACUAUGAGAAAAUGUGCUAAAAAGCCUGAUAAUCUAUAACAUUUUCUCAGGAAAGCAUUGUUGACUAUGAAAAAAAACUGAACUGCU